UACAGAGGUCUCAAGCGUUGUUCGGAUUCAUUGGGCGUAAAGGGUGCGUAGGCGGCGCGGUAAGUCGGGUGUGAAAUCUCGGAGCUUAACUCCGAAACUGCAUUCGAUACUACCGUGCUUGAGGACUAGAGGAGACUGGAAUUUACGGUGUAGCGGUGAAAUGCGUAGAGAUCAUGAGGAAGACCAGUGGCGAAGGCGGGUCUCUGGACAGUUCCUGACGCUGAGGCACGAAGGUCAGGGGAGCAAACGGG
rnacentral:rRNA from 1 species